GUAGGUGGCAAGCGUUGUCCGGAAUUAUUGGGCGUAAAGCGCGCGCAGGCGGUUCUUUAAGUCUGAUGUGAAAGCCCACGGCUCAACCGUGGAGGGUCAUUGGAAACUGGAGAACUUGAGUACAGAAGAGGAAAGCGGAAUUCCACGUGUAGCGGUGAAAUGCGUAGAGAUGUGGAGGAGCACCAGUGGCGAAGGCGGCUUUCUGGUCUGUAACUGACGCUGAGGCGCGAAAGCGUGGGGGGAGCAAACAGGAUUAGAUACCCUGGUAGUCCACGCCGUAAACGAUGAGUGCUAAGUGUUAGGGGGUUUCCGCCCCUUAGUGCUGCAGCUAACGCAUUAAGCACUCCGCCUGGGAGUACGGCCGCAAGGCUG
rnacentral:rRNA from 1 species